GCCUGGGUGGCUCAGUUGGUUAAGCGUCCGACUUCAGCUCGGGUCAUGAUCUCACGGUCUGUGAGUUCGAGCCCCACGUCAGGCU
rnacentral:tRNA from 1 species